AAGCACACCGCUGGGGAUACGGUCGCAGACUAAAACUCAAAGGAAUUGACGGGGACCCGCACAAGCGGUGGAGCAUGUGGUUUAAUUCGAUGCAACGCGAAAAACCUUACCACUCCUUGACAUGAAGAUUAGAUCCUCCUUAACAGGAGGGCGCAGUUAGGCUGGGUCUUGCACAGGUGCUGCAUGGCUGUCGUCAGCUCGUGUCGUGAGAUGUUGGGUUAAGUCCCGCAACGAGCGUAACCCUCACCCUUAGUUGCCAGCGGGUAAUGCCGGGGACUUUAAGGGAACUGCCAGUGGUAAGCUGGAGGAAGGUGGGGAUGAUGUCAAGUCAGCAUGGCCCUUAUGGGGUGGGCUACACACGUGCUACAAUGGUGACUACAAUAGGUUGCAUGGUCGCAAGA
rnacentral:rRNA from 1 species